UGCGAGUCUUUGUAGCAAUACAAGGCAGACGGCUCAGUAACACGUAGUCAAUCUACCCUAUGGACGGGGAUAACCUCGGGAAACUGAGAAUAAUACCCGAUAGAUCAUUAUGCCUGGAAUGGUUUAUGGUUCAAAUGAUUUUUCGCCAUAGGAUGGGACUGCGGUCUAUCAGCUUGUUGGUGAGGUAAUGGCCCACCAAGGCUAUAACAGAUACGGGCUCUGAGAGGAGAAGCCCGGAGAUGGGUACUGAGACACGGACCCAGGUCCUAUGGGGCGCAGCAGGCGAGAAAACUUUGCAAUGCGCGAAAGCACGACAAGGUUAAUCCGAGUGUUUUCUGCUAAAGAAAUCUUUUGUCAGUCCUAAAAACACUGACGAAUAAGGGGUGGGCAAGUUCUGGUGUCAGCCGCCGCGGUAAAACCAGCACCUCAAGUGGUCAGGAGGAUUAUUGGGCCUAAAGCAUCCGUAGCCGGCUCUGUAAGUUUUCGGUUAAAUCUAUAUGCUCAACAUAUAGGCUGCCGGGAAUACUGCAGAGCUAGGGAGU
rnacentral:rRNA from 1 species